GCCUGCAUGGCUCAGUCGGUUGAGCGGCUGACUUCAACUCAGAUCAUAAUCUCGCAGGUCGUGAGUUUGAGCCUCGUGUCAGGCU
rnacentral:tRNA from 1 species